UGAUAGCGAUGAAUCGGAGAUUGCUGUUGCAGGAACAGGUAACUUCGUGGAGCGAAUGUCAAGAUCUAGAAUCUGGCGACAA
rnacentral:ncRNA from 1 species